UUUCCGUAGGUGAACCUGCGGAAGGAUCAUUAUUGGAUCGUGAAACUUCAGGCUGCUGCUGGCUCUCCUCGGAGGGCAUGUGCACGCUUGUUGUCCAUUAUUUCUCCCACUGUGCACAAAUUGUAGACCUUUCAGUAGGCCUAUGUUGUUCUUCACAAUCUCUGAAUGUAAUAGAAUGGUUUUGAAUCUUGGGAAAUACAAUACAACUUUCAGCAACGGAUCUCUUGGCUCUC
rnacentral:misc_RNA from 1 species